CCUGGGUUCCUGCUGCCUUGGAAGCAUUCAGGAGGUCCCAGCAAGAAGUCGCACUGUAUUUUUCUCCAUUGCUCCCUGUGGAGUUCAUGUGUUCAGCCUUCUUUCUAAUGAUGGCAAUAAGCAGCUGUCAGCUAUUAUCUGAUGAUGUGAGGUGCUGAUAGGAGAAAUAAACUCAUCGCUCUUACUGGUGCCAAAUUUUCUAAAGCAGAACAUCCUCCACUCUGCUUUGAGUGCAGUCUGUUGCAACAAUUCUUCUGGAGCUACAUGCAAGAUUGCAGUGUAUCAGAAGUUAUCAACUGAUGAGCAACGUGACUUAUCAACACUAUAGUGGUUGUGCUUUGACAGUGCUUCUUCACAGAUCUGCCUGUUUGUGUUAUAGAAGUUUCAGUCUUCCAGUUGGAGAGGAGUGACACAGAUAUUUAAGACACAUGCAGCUUAGAUGUAGCACAUUGUAAUAAAGUGUUGCCUUGCCAGGCAAAUGUUUGAGAAUGAUGAAUUCUGUAGUACAUGAGAAGGGGUCAGAUGCUGCAUUGAGUAUCUUCUGUGGGAAAGGGAAUGCUGAACUUCAGCUCAGUAUAUCACUGCAGAAGCUGUGCCCGGCCAUGGGAGAUGACAAGCAGUUGCUACCAGCCAAGCUUCAGAUCAGGAGAAAAGAACCUUUUCCAUUACAUUCCAGAAAAUUGUGAAAGAUGUGGAAAUCAGAUCACUGCUUGGAAAUCUGUACUUCUACAAGGAGUUAUGUGAAGUCCUACUGGUUCUCACUACAAUGAAGUACUCGGGACACUUUUUUUGAGCCUACUACUACAGUCGUCACAAAGACAGUGCCUACUCCAAGGAGAUUCUAGCCCUUCUUCGUGAAGGUGAGAAGUACUACUGCAGGGGCAUCACGUGAGUGGUGAACUUCAGGUGCCAGAACUGCCACACAGUGAAUGACCACCACCUGCUUACUGUGUGCACAGUCAGGAGCCGGCAGGAGAAGAGAAAGGAAUGCAGAUUGUCACAGAGGUCUCCAUCAGGAAAUAAUCCUUAUCUUCAAGUCCUACCAUCCAAAAUCAGUUAACACUGGUAGUGAAAGACGCGCUUAGCCUGGAUGCUAGAGCGCUAGGAAAAUAUUUCUCAGGUGGUUAACUUGAGUUUGACUUCCAACAUCUCUUUAUUUGGGAAGAAAUGAAUUCAACGGUUCUUUUUAGUGCUUGUGAAAAUGAAGGAUAUUUGUGCUUGCACAACAAGAAAGGUGAUUUAGUCGCUCUAUUUGAUCGGUAUUUUUUUGAGGGAGACUUGCCAAAUUCAUCAGUGUUCAUCUGGAAGCCAAAAUAAAUAUCCAUGUGUUUUGAAGAGCAGAAAUGCUGGAAUGCAGCUGGAAAGUAGCUCAGGGCUCCU